CCUACGGGAGGCAGCAGUGGGGAAUAUUGCGCAAUGGGCGAAAGCCUGAUGCAGCGACGCCGCGUGAGGGAUGACGGCCUUCGGGUUGUAAACCUCUUUCAGCAGGGAAGAAGCGAAAGUGACGGUACCUGCAGAAGAAGCGCCGGCUAACUACGUGCCAGCAGCCGCGGUAAUACGUAGGGCGCAAGCGUUGUCCGGAAUUAUUGGGCGUAAAGAGCUCGUAGGCGGCUUGUCACGUCGGGUGUGAAAGCCCGGGGCUUAACCCCGGGUCUGCAUUCGAUACGGGCUAGCUAGAGUGUGGUAGGGGAGAUCGGAAUUCCUGGUGUAGCGGUGAAAUGCGCAGAUAUCAGGAGGAACACCGGUGGCGAAGGCGGAUCUCUGGGCCAUUACUGACGCUGAGGAGCGAAAGCGUGGGGAGCGAACAGGAUUAGAUACCCUGUAGUCCACGCCGUAAACGGUGGGAACUAGGUGUUGGCGACAUUCCACGUCGUCGGUGCCGCAGCUACGCAUAGUUCCCGCCUGGGAGUCGGCCGCAGGCAAACUCAAAGGAAUUGACGGCGUUGAGAGUUGCGAGCGACGACGAGGGAGAGG
rnacentral:rRNA from 1 species